GGUGAGUAACACGUGGAUAACCUACCAUAAGACUGGGAUAACUUCGGGAAACCGGAGCUAAUACCGGAUAAUAUUUUGAACCGCAUGGUUCAAAAGUGAAAGACGGUCUUGCUGUCACUUAUAGAUGGAUCCGCGCUGCAUUAGCUAGUUGGUAAGGUAACGGCUUACCAAGGCAACGAUGCAUAGCCGACCUGAGAGGGUGAUCGGCCACACUGGAACUGAGACACGGUCCAG
rnacentral:rRNA from 1 species